rnacentral:rRNA from 1 species
UGGGGAAUAUUGCACAAUGGGCGGAAGCCUGAUGCAGCGACGCCGCGUGAGGGAUGACGGCCUUCGGGUUGUAAACCUCUUUCAGUAGGGAACAAGCUCCUUUAUUGGGGUGAGGGUACUUGCAGAAGAAGCACCGGCUAACUACGUGCCAGCAGCCGCGGUAAUACGUAGGGUGCGAGCGUUGUCCGGAAUUAUUGGGCGUAAAGAGCUCGUAGGCGGUUUGUCGCGUCUGUCGUGAAAUUCCGGGGCUUAACUCCGGGAGUGCGGUGGGUACGGGCAGACUAGAGUGCGGUAGGGGAGACUGGAAUUCCUGGUGUAGCGGUGGAAUGCGCAGAUAUCAGGAGGAACACCGGUGGCGAAGGCGGGUCUCUGGGCCGUUACUGACGCUGAGGAGCGAAAGCAUGGGGAGCGAACA